UUUUUUUUCUUUUCUUCUUCAAAAAAAGAAAAGAAAAAAGUGAUACGUAAGUACUUGCUAUAUACAGUUAGCCAUACGCACAUACAU
rnacentral:ribozyme from 11 species